UUGCUCCCUCCUGCCGUUGUCAUAUGUUUGCAUCUUAGACUGCUUUUUAAAUGUCUGAUUAUGGCGAAAAUGUUCCUGUUACUCAGCCAAGUCGCUGGCCACCCCGACAUCGUUUUUGCAUGAAUUUGGGAGUGCAUACGUGUUAAAUGGAUUACUGAGCAUCUUUUGUAUGGCUCAUUAUGUUUGUCCAAUUUAGGAAUAUCACAUCAAGAGGCAAACCUAAGUUUUGAUGUAGCUGCAGUGGAAUGCAAAACUCUUUUAAAAUGAGUUCCAUUAAGUAACUCGAUGAAAACACUUGUCAACUGUGGUGUCCCGCUGCAUAGUGAGGCAUUGGAGUAUAAGGCAGCAGUUCUCAUAUGUGUUAUGUUCAUCAUAAUUAUGGGGCCUCUGGCUGGUUUAGUUGUUCAGUGAUUUUUUUCAUAUUCCAGUAUUCGUUGUCUCUCAUCUGAAAUGUUUUGCUAAGGAUUAUUGUGUUUUAAAUUUAUUUGUUGUGCCUGAACUUUAUUUUCUGUCAUCUCACUAUUUGCAAAAUAGGGCUGAAGAUCUUGUAUGUAAAGUGUUCAAAAUGUAUUUUGCCUGACUGAAUUGAAGAUGAAUGGCAUGGAUCUUAUUUCAAUGUUGAGAACCAGUGAUUUUAUUUGUGUGGAAGAGCAUUAUCUCUUUUUUUUAUGAUUUCUUGUCUGUAAUCAUGGUUAUGUCCUUGCAUUGCAUAUCCUUUAGCAUCUUAAACUGUUCAGUUAUAUUUACACAUCUGAGAAGGGGCAUACUGUAAGAUAUCUUGGUCUUUCCACAUAUGACUUUAGCAGGUAGAGAUCGAAGACUUGAGGGGAAAAAACAAUGCUUGGUAGACCACACUGACUGACUGACGGACGGAUGGAGGUCAGAGAAUGCUGUAAAACCAUUGAAAAAAGUAACAGUUGAAGAUAUUGUGUACAUGUUUUCUGAUGUUUUAAGAGUAUAUAAAUAAACUGUGAACUUCCAAGA